rnacentral:tRNA from 1 species
AGGGAUAUAGUGUCAACGGCAGCACGACUGUCUCCAAAACAGUAAGAGCGGGUUCGAAUCCUGCUAUCCCUGCCA